UGGGGAAUAUUGCACAAUGGGGGAAACCCUGAUGCAGCGACGCCGCGUGAACGAAGAAGGUAUUCGUAUCGUAAAGUUCUGUCCUAUGGGAAGAUAAUGACAGUACCAUAGAAGAAAGCUCCGGCUAAAUACGUGCCAGCAGCCGCGGUAAUACGUAUGGAGCGAGCGUUGUCCGGAAUUAUUGGGCGUAAAGGGUACGCAGGCGGUUUAAUAAGUCGAAUGUUAAAGAUCGGGGCUCAACCCCGUAAAGCAUUGGAAACUGAUAAACUUUAGGUGUGGAGAGGAAAGUGGAAUUCCUAGUGUAGUGGUGAAAUACGUAGAUAUUAGGAGGAAUACCAGUAGCGAAGGCGACUUUCUGGACACAAACUGACGCUGAGGUACGAAAGCGUGGGGAGCAAACAGG
rnacentral:rRNA from 1 species